rnacentral:lncRNA from 1 species
GCCAUCGCAGGGGAAGGGGAAGGGGGGCGCGCCAUCGCAGGGGAAGGGGAAGGGGGGCAAGAAGAACCCCUAGGUAUGGCCCAGCCUUAUGGGCUUGCUUGCUUCCCGUGACCGCGAUUUUGGUUCCAAGAUUUUGACCGCCUGCGUCAGACCUGUCGUCAAAAGUUCGUCUCUUCUGUUCUGUAGAUAAACUAGUAGCGCAUGAGACUAUAUGGGGAUGCGGCGAUACUUUUACAUGUUACUAAAUGCUUGACUGCUGCUACUACUUAGAGUAUAUAUUACUACAAUCUCAGGUGCACAUCGGUGCCCGAUCUUUCUUCUAAUUGGCAUCUUUGAGCUUCUUCUGCUGUGAUUUCCCUGCAUUAGAAUCUGGUGGCUCUGAAUAAUUAGCUAGCGUCAGAAGAUGCAAUAAGCAUGAGCACCUGAUAAAUAAUGUGUUUGAGCAUGAGCAUCUUUACCGUGCAGCAUUGACUAGAUCUAUAUGUGAUUUCAUCAACGAGAGAGCUGGGCAAGCUCUUCUUGCUGUACAGGCCUGCAAGUAUGUGAUUUUGUCAUUUCAAAUGCAUGAACAAUAUGUCAAAAGUAAGAUGUGCUCAUGGAUGCUCUGUAGGAUGUGCUUUUCCCACUCAAAAUGAAGCUUGUCUACCUAGUUAUCAGCCUGUUUUUUUUUUUUUUUGUUAUGGUAAAACUUUGUUCAUCUGAUGAGGUAAAAAAACUAUAAAGAAUCUGUGAGGCUAGAUAGUGUGAAUGACUAAUGUUGCUGAUUGUGCAUAACCAUGCUUCAGUCAAAGUGAAUGGUCAAAAACAUGUUUACAAAGUACAUGACCAUGUAGCAGUCAAUUUUCUGAUCUUGCUGCAAAACUCUGAUUCAAUAAUUUAACCCAACAUCUUGUCUACUGGAAAAUAUCCAUAUAGGCAUGGCUGAAUUUAUUUUCUGUUGUUUAAAAUGCAUGAAGAAAUGUAAACAGUUCAUAGAAGUAGUUCUGAGGAGCAUGAAAAAAUCAUGUGAUGGGUCUGGAUUGGCACUCUAGUGAUUGUCCAGUAUGUGCUAAGUUAGCGCGAGUAUUCCCACUUGCAGUGCUUGAAGUGAAAAUGAAUAAGAACUAUAUGCACAAUGGAUACCGUGUUUCAGUAAAAGUGUGAAUGACAAUAAAGAAUCUGUGAGGCUAGAUAGUGUGAAUGACUAAUGUUGCUGAUUGUGCAUAACCAUGUUUCAGUCAAAGUGAAUGGUCAAAAACAUGUUUACAAAGUGCAUGACCAUGUAGUAGUCAAUUUUCUGAUCUUGCUGCAAAACUCUGAUUCAAUAAUUUGACCCAACUUAUCUUGUCUACUGGAAAAUAUCCAUAUAGGCAUGGCUGAAUUUAUUUUCUGUUGUUUGAAAUGCAUGAAAUAAUGCCAACAGUUCAUAGAAGUAGUUCUGAGGAGCAUGAAAAAAACAUGUGAUAGGUCUGGAUUGGCACUAGUGAUUGUCCAGUAUGUGCUGAGUUAGCGCGAGUAUUCCCACUUGCAGUGCUUGAAGUGAAAAUUAAGAAGAAUUAUAUGCACAAUGGAUACCGUGUAGGUUGGGAUACUUACUAUUGAGGUAGCUAACACCCCAACAGUCAAGGGACCUAUUUACCCACCAGAAGUCUGUUCCAUUGGUUUAUGUACGCAAACCUGUUGCUUGUAACAAAAGGAAUACUAAUAAAGUGUAAAACAGAGAUUCCAUUGCAUUACCAGGCUUUCAGCAAAGUACCACACAAUGGUCAUCGUGUAGUCAUCGAUAGAAUAAUUGUUCAAAAAAACAUGUAUAUACUUGCUCUUAGAGCCUCUUCGAUUCACAAGAUUCUCAACAGGUACUAUGGAACGACCUCUAUCCCUAAAUAUUGAGUACUACUACCUCUGUCCCUAAAUAUUGAGUACCACUACCUCUGUCCCUAAAUAUAAGACGUUUUUGCAGUUCAAUUUGAACUGCAAGAACGUCUUAUAUUUAGGGACAGAGGGAGUAUAUGGAACUGAAAAGGUGUUUGCUUAUGUGUAAGAAAAACGAAAUAUUCUUUCCAAGAGAUGAGGCCGAUGGAAAUUUUCCUAAAAUCUAGUACUACAAAUAAAUCCUAUGGCCCAGUUUGGAAUGUGCGUAAAAUUUAGUAUGGUUUGCUAAUGACCAUACAAAUUUUACACACAUUCAAACAGUCCUUGAGGGGAAAAUAAUAUGGUUUAGUAUUGCGAAUCAAACUUGCCAUGGGUAAAUUUCAAAAAUGAUUAAAAUCCUACAAUGAUCUUCUGAAGAAACACAUGAUUGUGAUCUCAUGUUCAAUCUAAACCUAUAGGAUGUUUUUUGCACCAGAGUUUGUUCCGCGCAUCAUUAAGACAAGAGCAAAGAAUAGAGUUGACAGAAAAAUGGUGAUAACGCGUGCAAAGUAAUCUUUCUGAAACUAUCUAUGAGAUUAAAUCAUGCAAAUCGAACAACCUACAAAAAAAUAUACCCAAGGGUUCUAAUCCUCCGAAUUUACUAGAAAAAUCCUGUUGAAUCAAAUAGGCCCUAAGAGUCAGAUGCUCUUAUAUAUUUUGCAAUGACUCAAAUGAAACAAAAAAAACAUUUUAAUAGGUUUUAAAUCCAGCAUAUUUUUGCAAGACCUAUUAGUUGACCUGCAGGUAUCUAUAGUUGUCUUUUAGGCAUAUAUAUUAUUAUUUUGCUCUUACCCGAAUUUUUCUAUUCAAAUAGGCUUUAAAAUCAUACUCCCAUCGUAUAACGGAAGCAUGGCCUUUAGAUAUCUAAUGGGCUUUCAAAUUGUACUCCCGUCAUAUACGGAGAGAGUAGGAGAUCCAUAGGAGCUGCACACAAAAUACAUGCCAUGAGGCAAGUGAUUGUUUUAGCAACAGUGGGAAAAAAAUCCUCAACAGACAAGAAGGCUUUAGAGGCGGCCUCUACAGGCUACUGCAGUGGAGUGGUAAAGGGUGAGGCUGCCCUUGACUUUGUUCGGUCCACAGACAGACUACAGAUUGUUAUUACGAGCAGGCAUCAGAAAAAAGUGGCUGAGCUGAACUCAAAUGCGGUCAGGCUAAGUAUACAUAUACACACACUGCAAAAUACAGUGUGUCAAAACGGCAAGGCUUCUGUGCAAGUAUGAAGAUUUGGGAGCAAACUAGACACAACGGGAAAGUGGACCAUAAUACUGUACUGAUCUGAUCUGGAGAGAAGAAGAAAAAUGUAGGUGGCUUAUUAAGAAAUGCAUACUUUUCUUACUAAGAUUCUCAUGAAAGAAAAGCAUCACUGAAGGACAUAAUGAAUAGGCCAUGUGUAUGUGUACUGUAUCCUGAUGCCAAUGCUAUAUUUUUAACCAAAAUUCCCAGUGACUAGAUUACCCAUUAUCUACAUCCAAGAUUAUUUCGCAACCUUUUUACAGCUGACGGGUAGAAAUAAUUACUUGUUUUCAAAGAGGAUUCAUGCUCUCCCUAUAGAGGUAUACAUUCACCUCCAACGCAGAUGUAGACUAGGCUGUUGAUGAUCUGCCAUCCAUCCCUGGUUGUCAUCAAGAAAGGAGCAGGAUACCAGGUGAAUGCAAAUCCAAAUAACUAGUGCUGACUCUUAUUGGAUCAUAACCACAAAUAACUAAAAAUACCAAACGCCAACUAAUGAGAUGGAAGAACGAAUGAAAUAAAAAUCCAAACUUUAGGAUCAACACUGACUGGGCAGCACCGAUUGGCAAGAAUUUGCUACAAGGACCACAGUAGAGAACACCUAAAAAGGUAGAGAGAAGAGGCAAAAAAAAUCAGAAUCGAUUAUACCAAGAAUCAGAGAAAGCAAAGAUGGAGGAAGAAAGCUAAGGGCGUAGCCAUCAGGCAUAAAGUCAUCACCUGACGAAAAAAACCAUCAACGUUGAAGGAUAUGGCCAGAUCUGAAUCUGCAAUGAUUUGCAGCCCAACCAGAUCCACCAAGAGGAUGGUUGGACGCCCUGCUGUCAGUGAGAGCAGAUCAGUGGAAGCAGAUCGAACAGCAGCUUCCGGCGACGCCGGACGGAGCCUCCCGCGAGAGGCAGAGCGGCUCCUCGCGUGCAGGCGAUGCCUCACCGGAUCCAGCAGCCCAAGUCCCCGGCGCGCGCCAUCCUGGGCGCCACCACCCCAGAUCUGGCCCGCGAUAGAGAGCGGUUGGCCGCACCACCCUCCAAAGCCGCGGCCGUCCGAGUCUUACCCUUAGUUGGAGUACAGCGAGGUGCGUGCGCCCAUGGGCUGGUAGUAGAUCGAUCGACCAGGAGAUGGGCACGGCCUCCAGAUGUAUCGGUAGACCGACGGUUGCCGCGGCGUCGACGGAGGAGGCAUGGCGGCUACGGUUUGGGGUUGGGGUGGGGGGCGAGAGCUCGGGGAAGAGAUAGGAGAGGGGAAGAGACGCGCACGGCACAAGUUGCGUAAGCACCUUUUUACUGGUCAUGGUCAGCCUACGUAACGUACGAGGUGCACCUACGUGGUCACAUCUGACAAAUUCUCUGCCAUGCUAGUAUUUUUAGAACUCCUACGGGUUCCUCGAUACGUGCACGGCGAUAACUCGUCUGCAGACACUAGACCGUCUCCGCGUAGACUUUGGAUUUCCGGGCCGUCGUCUCCUUUCCGACACGGCCGGGUCCAAGCGUCGAGUAUAUUACUACCUACACCACGAAAACCCUAGAUCAUCACAUCUGUGCACCAGAAGAAGAUACCGCCGCCGCUCCGUGCUAUAGGAAAGCAGCAGAUCGGCCGAGUUCGUUCAUCCAUGGAGUCGAGUCCUUCAUCAUGGGCCGACCUCCUGCCGGAGCUCCUAGGACGGAUCAUCGUCGGCCUCCCGUGCCCCGACGACCGUGCCCGCUUCCGUGCCGUGUGCCGCCCAUGGCACCUGGCCGUGCGGCGGCACGAUCCCCCACGGCUGCCGUGGAUCGUAUACUCGGACGGCACCUUCCUCACCUUUCCUGAUCAUGUUAUGCAUCGUGGGCUACCCUUCUCUGGGAACACAACCUUCAUCUGCGCUACUGAUAACACAUGGCUCGCCUUCUACCGCACCAACACCAAGGACGGACGACGUAGCUACCUCUUGCAUAAUCCGUUCACCGGGACAACAGUGCCGCUCCUCGGGCUGGACUCCAUCAUUGGUGAUGUCUCUUAUUUCUUCGAGAUCCGAAAGGUAUGUUGGAAAUAUGCCCUAGAGGCAAUAAUAAAUGGUUAUUAUUAUAUUUCUUUGUUCAUGAUAAUCGUCUAUUAUUCAUGCUAUAAUUGUAUUGUCCGGAAAUCGUAAUACAUGUGUGAAUGCAUAGACCACAACGUGUUCCUAGUAAGCCUCUAGUUGACUAGCUCGUUGAUCAACAGAUAGUCAUGGUUUCCUGACUAUGGACAUUGGAUGUCGUUGAUAACGGGAUCACAUCAUUAGGAGAAUGAUGUGAUGGACAAGACCCAAUCCUAAGCAUAGCAUAAAAGAUCGUGUAGUUUCGUUUGCUAGAGCUUUUCCAAUGCCAAGUAUCUUUUCCUUAGACCAUGAGAUCGUGCAACUCCCGGAUACCGUAGGAGUGCUUUGGGUGUGCCAAACGUCACAACGUAACUGGGUGACUAUAAAGGUGCACUACGGGUAUCUCCGAAAGUGUCUGUUGGGUUGGCACGGAUCGAGACUGGGAUUUGUCACUCCGUGUGACGGAGAGGUAUCUCUGGGCCCACUCGGUAAUGCAUCAUCAUAAUGAGCUCAAUGUGACUAAGGCGUUAGUCACGGGAUCAUGCAUUGCGGUACGAGUAAAGAGACUUGCCGGUAACGAGAUUGAACAAGGUAUUGGGAUACCGACGAUCGAAUCUCGGGCAAGUAACAUACCGAUUGACAAAGGGAAUUGCAUAUGGGAUUGAUUGAAUCCUCGACACCGUGGUUCAUCCGAUGAGAUCAUCGUGGAACAUGUGGGAGCCAACAUGGGUAUCCAGAUCCCGCUGUUGGUUAUUGACCGGAGAGGCGUCUCGGUCAUGUCUGCAUGUCUCCCGAACCCGUAGGGUCUACACACUUAAGGUUCGGUGACGCUAGGGUUGUAGAGAUAUGUGUAUGCGGAAACCCGAAAGUUGUUCGGAGUCCCGGAUGAGAUCUGGACGUCACGAGAGGUUCCGGAAUGGUCCGGAGGUGAAGAAUUAUAUAUAGGAAGUCAAGUUUCGGCCACCGGGAAAUUUCGGGGGUUGCCGGUAUUGUACCGGGACCACCGGAAGGGUCCCGGGGGUCCACCGGGUGGGGCCACCUAUCCCGGAGGGCCCCGUGGGCUGAAAGUGGAAGGGAACCAGCCCUUAGUGGGCUGGGGCGCCCCCCUUGGGCCUCCCCACAUGCGCCUAGGGUUGGGAACCCUAGGGUGGGGGGCUUCCCCCUUGCCUUGGGGGGCAAAGCAACCCCUUCCCCCCUUUGGCCGCCCCCCCAUGAGAUCCCAUCUCUAGGGCCGGCGCCCCCCAGGGGGCCUAUAUAAAGGGGGGAGGGAGGGCAGCAACCUACAGCCUUGGGCGCCUCCCUCCUCCCCUGUUACACCUCUCCGUCUCGCAGAAGCUCGGCGAAGCCCUGCCGAGACCCGCUACAUCCACCACCACGCCGUCGUGCUGCUGGAUCUCCAUCAACCUCUCCUUCCCCCCUUGCUGGAUCAAGAAAGAGGAGACGUCGCUGCACCGUACGUGUGUUGAACGCGGAGGUGCCGUCCGUUCGGCACUCGGUGAUCGGUGAUUUGGAUCACGGCGAGUACGACUCCGUCAUCCACGUUCAUUGGAACGCUUCCGCUCGCGAUCUACAAGGGUAUGUAGAUGCACUCCUUUCCCCUCGUUGCUAGUACACUCCAUAGAUGCAUCUUGGUGAGCGUAGGAAAAUUUUAAAAUUAUGCUACGAUUCCCAACAGUGGUACUCAUGCGGUCCACCGAGGACGAUAUCGUUGCCGUCGCGACCAACAACUGGAACUGCCCGGUCAUCUUGUGUCAUCCUGGGAGACCCGGUGCGUGGGUGCCUGGACGGAGGGAGAAGCCAUAUGCAUCUGUUUUUGAUAUCGUGUUUCAUAAAGACGGUCUCUACGGGAUCACUGAGCGCAAUGACCUCGUCGUGAUGGAUCUUAAUGAGGAUGACAACGGCAUCCCCAUUGUUAAAGAUGUGAGGUAUGUUAUUAAGCAUCCGUCUGAUGAGGAGGAGGAGGAGAUGGAAGAGUACGAUGAAGACGGAGAAGUGUACAUCAACUAUGAAGAAGAAGAAGAGUACGAUGAAGACGAAGAAGUGUACAUCAACAAUGAAGAAGAAGAGUACGAUGAAGAUGCAGAAGUGCCCAUCAAUAUCUACGAUGAAGAGGUGGAGUACAACGCGGCUUCAAGCGUCGAUGAGGAGAAUGAAGACUUUGAAGAGGUGUUUUGUGGCAAUGAUGCAUUUAAUGAUAAUAUGGAGAAUCAGGAAAACAACCUACACAAUUGUGACCACAAACAAGUGCCAAGCAAUAAGGACAAAGGAGAGGUAGAUGAUGUCACGAUGGGUAUUAUAGACAAGUCUGAAGAUGACAAGAGAAUACUAAGCAGAUUGGAGCUUAAGGGCAAGCGUCACGAUGGUGAUGAGAAGGUACCUGAUGGUAUGGAGCUGGUCGGUUUCCAUUGCGACGACCAAGGGAAACCUGGGGAUGGCACUGAGACCAGCAGGCAUCUCUUUAAGUCUAAUGGCAAACUGCUUCUAGUAAAACGGCAACAAUGCCACCCCGGCCACUCCCCUGACUAUACUCGUCAGGUUGAGGUCCUAGAGGCGGACAUGGGCGCGGGGGUGUGGACUCCGAUAAGUGCGGAUGUAUCAGGCAUGUUCUUCGUGAGCAGUCGUUGCUCAAAACAUGUUUCUGCGUCCGAAGAGGCAAGGAAAGGAUUUAAGUGUCACUUUGUAGAUGAGCACGACAUGGCCGUCGACCUGAAAUCUCAACGGUAUCUUCCAUGGGUGGGUAAACCAACAUGGUUUUUCCCGCAAAAAAUAGUCGUAUGAAAUUAAAUGGUUUUCAUUUUUCCCGCAAAAUUUGUUUUCCUAUUUGUGGUUGGAUAUGGGAGCUAUAAAUCGUAUAGUAGAUGUUUUUUUCUUGGUCCCAGCAAAAGCUUUGUGUUAAAAUUGAGUAUUGAGAUAUAUCAAUAGAGCCUGUUCGCAUCCUCAUUUUUCUCAUGGCAAAAGAGACGCAAAUCAUUUUUUUUUCCGUAACGACAUAAGUGUUGGGAGCAACAAUGACAAGGGCUCUGGAUCAACGCACUGCAGACCGGCAUGGCCUUGCGCUCGAUAUUGCCCCCUUGACACUGUGGCUGGGCGCCGCCUGCAGCGUCUUGGGCUCCAUGUUUUUUUUUUCAAAACUAGGCUAAACACAUUUCAAUUUAGAAAGAGCUCAGAGGGCGCGUAGAAAUGAGAAGAGAAGAGUCCAACACACUGCUAGGGAACCCCACCUUGAGCUCUCUCGGGCUUGGUGAUUCAGAGGACCAGGAGGGUAUGUGUUUUGAAUGCCACUUUUCGUACGACCAUGGGUGCCCAAGGCGCGAGACGCCGGUGAACGUCGGUCUACCAUGAGUACAUUGAGUAGCUUGACUCACCAUGUGUAGCUUUGGCACGCGACCCAGCGACGUCUUCUGGUCACGGUGAGAUCCAUGAAUUUGUCUUGAUCCGCGGCAGUGAGAUUGGUGCAAUGACCGGAUCCGCGGUGCCGCCUCCUUCUCGCCGUACUCGAUGCCAAACUUUGGUCAUGCAGAGCACGAACGUGGGGCAACAUACCGUGCCCCACGGUCUUGACGCCGCCGUCAUCCUUGUAGACACGUCAACGAGGCGACGCAGAACAACAAUUACCAAGACGUCCUUGUACCAGGACUUGUGGAUGAUGCCGCGUCACUUAACUUGUGGAUGAUGCCGCGUACAACAAAUUUAUAACCAAGAAAAAACCAAGUUCAUUGUCACGUAAAUUAAUCCAAGUGAGUGAAAAGAGAAGAGAAAAACAACUGGGCCGCGCGCAUGCAGCGUGCCGCUGCCCCUACUGAAAUACUAGUAAUUCGUAGUAUCCUAGUAGGCCGUUUCUUUCGCUAGGAGCAAUAGUUACCUGGUACUAGUGUCAAAAAUAAUCUUAUAUUAAAAGACGAAGGGAGUACAAUGUUCUCUGAUAUAAUGGUUUUCAUGUAUACAAUUUCCCUUCCUAGCAUGGAGACAGGAGAUCAACACAUACAGCAUACAUUCGCUGCUCCGGCGGUGGAGGAUUGGAUUUGGAUGGAUGGGGAAGUCGGCGUGCUGCGACAAGGCGAGGGUGAAGCGGGGGGCAUGGUCGUGGGUGGAGGACGCCAUCCUCGCCACCUCCGUCGUAGGGUUCGCCAACGCUGGCAACUGGACCACGCUGCCGCACAAGGCAGGGCUUCGCCGAUGAGGUAGCUCAACUACCUCGUCGUGGCGCCUUCACCGAGGAGGAGGUCGGCCUGCUCCUCCGCGAGCCAGUGCGCCUUCCAGUGCUCUUGGUGGGUCACCUCCUCCUCCGACGUUGCGGCUUAGUGGACGGGAGGCACGCUCACCCACUCGCGGAGCCCACCAGUCCACGAGUAGAACUCCUCGGGCCAAGCGGGGGGCGGCGGUGAGCGCUUACACAUGGGCGUGGGCUCGGGCCCGGCCUCAACCUUGGUCUCGAGGGUAGGCAGCGGGGGGAGGGGAGCGUGGACGGAGUCCCCCACUGCCGGCAAUGUGAGGGCUUGCUCUAGGCCGUCCCACUGCGUGUCCUCCUCGAGCGGGCAGUGGGGGCACGUCGUGGUUGACCUGAAGCCGCGGCGGCGCUCCUCCUCAUGCUCCAAUGUGAACCAGCGCUCCCUGUUGGGAGAGUCCGGGGCGUACGCACGCUGCUCCGGCAUGAGGAGCUCGCCGUGCCGGCGAACCUCCUCGGCGUGCGCCUGCGACGAGCGUGGCACCACCGGAAUGGGGAUGCGUUGCGGGUCGAGAUGCCAGCCGUGAGGCAAGCUGACAUCUGGACAUUGCAUAGGCUAGCGGUACUGCCAAUGCCACCGCGCCUGGUAGACUGGGAUGUACAGCCUCUCGCGCUCCCGUUGCGACCCGUCGCGUCGAGCCGGCGGUGGCGGAAGAGGAGGCACACGGGAUGAGCUCGCAUCGGGGCAGAACUUGCCCUUGCCCUUCCCACUGAAGAAGCCCAUGGCAUGGCGUGCUGGGGUUUUUUGGUCGCCAACGAGGGAGCAAACGUAGCCAGAUGUGGAUGAGAGGUGAAAGUGGACAGCCCCCCCCCCCCCACCCCCACCCACACACACACGCUUGCAAUAAAAGGGCGUCCACGUGAUGCUGCCACCCACCGCCAAGCGGGCCCGAGUUAGGUGGUCACAUUUAAGAUGACCGCGGGCGAUGGUUGGGCGGCUGACAGAUGGGCCACAAAGGACCAGACAUAAAUUUAAACCUGAAAUGCAUCUAGACGAACACCAAACAGAUACAAUUUGGGUUUGAGUCCGCGCGUUGGGCCGGUGCUUUGGUCCGUUUCGAUUCAAACAAACCCGCGCCGACGAAAUGGAUGCCGUGUUGGAGUUGCCCUCACCAACAUCAGCAGCAGUUUCGAAAAACAGAAGGCAAAAGGCAAGCCAGUUGCCGGUGUAUGCUGGUACUGAAUUUGUCAGCGCAGCUUUUCUUCAAAGCCUUUAUUUUCUUUUCCCCGUAUCUUCACAUCACACUAGCCAUUAUCAGAAGCUAUGGGCUACCUCUCCUGCCUAGUGUUUUUACCUAUGUUAGGGUAUGUUUGAUAUCCAUCCACACUGUUAUAUUUUUGUGUCACAAGUGUAGAAAAUUGAGGCAAAUAUCUGGUUGCAGCCACAGUUAUGGCAUAUGCCAUUUUCGGCGUUCUGGGAACGGGGGUCCCCAGACUUGCCUGCCUGUGGCCCACGGCGUGGCUAAGUCAGCGGGCCGUACGGCCCAUCUUCAUCAACAAGGCAUCCAAGACCCUCGCGAGGGGCCAAGCCUCGCGAGGCGGACGACGCAAGACCUCCUCAGGAGUGGCCUAGCCAGGCAGGCUCACGAGGAGCGGAGAUAUCAAGGCGGGGCAAACCUCACGAGGCUCUCGUGACGUGAGCCAUGACGAUCGGCACCAGGCGGGCGCCAGCGCGCGCAAUGUCCUUGUUUCCUCUUUGGUGCUAAGGAGGCAAGCGCAGGCGAGGAGUACCGAGGCAUCGGGCAAAGGUUGCCAUAUCGGUGCAACGAGACCAAGACCAGAAGGACGGCAGGACGGAGGUCAUCGUGGAGCCCAAGACGGCGUCACCACCAGAGCCUUUCGCAGGCGAAGACCACUUUUGUCAGGAUAGCUUGUACUAGUUGUCCCCCUUUAAAUUUGCCCACCGUUGUUGGCUCCCUUCCCGCUCAAUAUUCGGGGAGAGGACCAGGGCCUAUAUAAGUAGAACUAGCCACCACAGUAGGGGCAUCUCAGCUUGACCUGAUCUGAUCGAGAGCCUACCCUAGCCACAAGAACACCUCAACCUCAGGAGGCUGUUCUUCCCCUUGUAUUGUUCAUCAUCAGCCCAAGAGGCAAUCCACCACCACCACACUGGAGUAGGGUAUUACACCACAACGAUGGCCCGAACCAGUAUAAAUCUCGUGUCUUUCUGUGUUGCGAGUUCGUCGAGUUCGUCCGCGAGAUCUUAGUGAGCUAGGGCAUGGAUCGGUAGGAGGAAAAGACUUCGCGCGCACCCCAGAGUUCGAACCUUAAGGGUUUGCCGGAACCCCAUAUCCGACAUUUGGCGCGCCAGGUAGGGGUGCGCCGGAGCUUCUUCUCCGCCAAUCGACCUGCCGACGCUCCGCGGCCACGAUGUUCGGCGACCCAAGGGCUGACUCCGACCGCUGGGCAGCCUGGCCGGCCCGGGCGGCGCCACCUGCCCACGAAGCCCUCGACCCCGCGCUCCAGGCGGCGCGAGCGCCGUCCAAUGUUGCGGGGCGCGGGCGGCACGGCCAAGCAUCGUCCACCCUCACCCCGCGGCAAGUGCGAGCCGCUGCAAGGGCGGCAAGCCACGCCGCAGCGACGGCGCCGCAUUCACGGCGGGAGCAGGCAAACAUGCGAGCAGAGCUCACGGUGGCGCGAGAGCUGGUGCGGUGCCGGCUGAUGGAGAGCGGCCGGGAUGCACUGCUGGAGCGCGUUGCCGAGCUGCUGGAUGCAGCAGCGUCGGGAGCACCGCCCUUCUGUCAUCAGCUUCCUCCUCAGGCCACUACAGGGUCUCACGGCGGGCCCCGCCGCGACCACGCGCCAUCAGGUGUGCCAGGGGGCUUCGUCAACACCAGCACGGCCGGCGGCGCCGGGGGCUCUGCCGCCCCCAUGCCGCCCGCGACAAGCAUGAGCACAAGCGUCGCCUCCCAUGGCCCAAGUGGGAUGCCGCGCUAUCAUCCUCAAGACGCCACACUGGGUCGGGCGACAUGGAGUGUGGGGCACUACGGCGAGGUGUUCGGGGUGACGGCCCCGGAAGCCUACGUGCCCCGCAUGAUGGACCAGGAUUACGCACAGGAGGACGAUCCUGGCUCGUUCAUCGGAGAAGGUUGGGAAGAAGAGGCGCUGGGAGUUGAGGCCUUCCAGGAGCCGCCGGGGAACCACCACGACCGCGUGUGCAACGACAACUACAGGGUACCCCUAAUCCCACAGGAGCAAGCUUACGCUAACCAUGAGUCGCAGGAGGAACAGAUCACCAUGACGGCUGACGGCCCCAGCUCGGCGGCCUCCCUGCCAGCAGGGGGAUCGCGUUGGGGGCUGUAGGAGAGGGGUCGGGACCCAGGCCCCUCCCCACGGCGUGCGAAGCCAGAGGACACCCGGAGGUAGGCCCUCUGCUGGGGAGGUGCCGGCGAGCCUUCCCCCGGCAGAGGACCCGUGGUCGCUGAGGGCACCGCUGGCGUCCCCUUUUCCCCCUUUGUGUUGUCCUGGUAGCCGGUCGGCUCAAAGGUGGUCGAGGGUGGCGCAAGGCGGGGCCCUCGUCUGGCGAUAUGAAGCAAGGCCGGUACCUGUGAAGAAGGCCCAGUGCCUGUGAAGCUCGCCGCCCGUGACACUUUCACGUAAUAAUGAGUUGGGGCUGUACACGCCCCUGAGUCUCAGGGGUGCCGGCCUCAGGCCCUGGGGCUCCCUCUCACGCCUAGUGGCAGCACUUAGCUCCGCGCUGGUGAGAAGACUUGAAGACCAGAAGACUAGACUAGGUGCCGGACGCGGCCAUUUGCUUUGGAUCUCUCUUUCUGUAGCUUUGCUUUCUGGAUCUGUAUUUAAGUUGAAGCCAAGUUUUUGUCGAUGCGCGUGGGGGGUGCCUCUUCUCGUUCGAGCAGUUUCUUGCUUUCUGGAUUUUGUUUUGUCUGGGACUCAUGUCCGACGCCUUCCCCUCACGAGCCCCUCGCGAGCAGGACUGCGCGAAGCACACGCGCGCCGAGCGCGCACUAACGCUGCAACUGGCGCUUGCCUCUUGCGGGGCCCCGUCUGACAGGUCGACAAGCUCCGCAGGAUUCUCAGAAACUCAUAGCCUCGUGACCCAGCUCGAGGCUGGCGCUGACUAAGGUAAACCACAACGGGAAACUCGCCCCUGAACUCAUGAGUCCACGAGGGCACAAAUUCAAUACCGCAUAGGAAGGUAAAGGCUGCGGCUUGCUUACAUGAGGGGCUCCCCCUCUCAAAAUGCUCUUACAAGUUUUCCAAGGGCCACGCCCGAGUUUUUGCAUACAGGAUAAAACGACAGGAGAACAUGGGAUCAAUCAGAUAUGUCACUCGCUACAUCGCCCUCGGACGCAUCACUCGCGUCGUCGUCAUCUUCGCCGGCACCGUCGCCGCCUUCGGCGACGCCUCCGUCGCCGUCGUCAACCACGUCGCCUUCGUCUGUGGCGACCACCACCGCGUCGUCGUCAGAGGCAAAGGCUCUGACCAGCGCGUCCACGUUGUCCUCCACCCACCGCGCCAGAUCGCCCCGGACGGCCUGCGGUACGGGGGCAAUGGCGGCGUCGAAGUCGAAGUCGGGGAAGGUGUUCCUGAGGUGGCUGAAGACACGGGAGAACGCGCGCCCGAGCAGGCCCCGACUUCUCUCCUCCACGAGCCGGCGAGCCCUGUCAGGCCGGGUUUCCAGGCGCGUCACCACGUCGGUGAAGAAGGUCAGGUGGCUGGCAUAGUCAUUCGAGUGGGGGGCAGGUGCAUUCUCGUCGCAGAUGUAGCCCAGGGCGGUAUUGGCCCUCUUCCGGAGAUCCUGAAGCAUAGGGGCAUGCUCGCGCUUCAGCGUCCGACGUUGGAGCACUUCCUCCCUGUUUUGUCGUGCGACGGCCUCGGCAUCAUCGACCCGCUCCCGAAGAGAAAGCAGCUCGGCACGGGCGGAGGCCAAGUCCGCCUGCGCCAUGACCAGGGCGGCAGCCGUGGCCUCCGCACGCCUCUCAGCCUCGUCCAACCUGGGCCUGAGGGCAGCAGCCCUACCCGCACCCUCCGUACCUGCGAGCUUCAACUUCAAGUCAUACCUUCCCUCCAGGUCUGCGUGAACCUCGGCCACCUAGCGAUCCACCUCCUCCUGGAGCCUGGCCUCGCGAAUCCCGACGGCAUCUUCUGCUUGGGUAACUUGACGCUCCCUUGUCUCCAAUUGCUCAAGCUCGAGGCUGCGUUCCACGGCCUCCAGCGCCAACGCCUCCUUGCGCUUCUGGACCUCUUCCUCCUCGGCGGGCGUCCCCCUCAGCGACGCAAGGGCAGCUCUGCGCGCCUCCGCCUGCUGCUCUAGGGACGCGUGAUACGUCUCCAACGUAUCUAUAAUUUAUGAAGUAUUCAUGCUAUUACAUUAUCCAUCUUGGAUGUUUUAUGGGCUUUACUAUGCAUUUUUAUAUUACUUUUGGGACUAACCUAUUGACCCAGAGCCCAGUGCCAGUUUCUGUUUUUUUCCUUGUUUCAGUGUUUCGCGGAAAAGGAAUAUCAAACGGAGUCCAAACAGAAUGAAACCUUCGGAAAAGUUAUUUUUGGAAAGAAAGCAAUACAGGAGACUUGGAGUGCAUGUCAGGAGAUCAACGAGGAAGGCACGAGGCAGGGGGCGCGCCCCCCUGGGCGCGCCCUCCACCCUCGUGGGCCCCUCGUGGCUCCCCUUACCGACUUCUUUCGCCUAUAUAUUCCCAUAUACCCUAAAACCUUCGGGGAACAGGAUAGAUCGGGAGUUCCGCCGCCGCAAGCCUCUGUAGCCACCAAAAACCAAUCGGGACCCUGUUCCGGCACCCUGCCGGAGGGGGGGAACCCUCACCGGUGGCCAUCUUCAUCAUCCCGGCGCUCUCCAUGACGAGGAGGGAGUAGUUCACCCUCGGGGCUGAGGGUAUGUACCAGUAGCUAUGUGUUUGAUCUCUCUCUCUCGUGUUCUUGAGAUGAUACGAUCUUGAUGUAUCGCGAGCUUUGCUAUUAUAGUUGGAUCUUAUGAUGUUUCUCCCCCUCUACUCUCUUGUAAUGGAUUGAGUUUUCCCUUUGAAGUUAUCUUAUCGGAUUGAGUCUUUAAUGAUUUGAGAACACUUGAUGUAUGUCUUGCGUGGGAUACUCGUGGUGACAAUGGGGUAUUCUAUUGAUCCACUUGAUGUAUGUUUUGGUGAUCAACUUGCGGGUUCCGCCCAUGAACCUAUGCAUAGGGGUUGGCAAACGUUUUCGUCUUGACUCUCCGGUAGAAACUUUGGGGCACUUUUUGAAGUACUUUGUUGGUUGAAUAGAUGAAUCUGAGAUUGUGUGAUGCAUAUCGUAUAAUCAUGCCCAUGGAUACUUGAGGUGACAUUGGAGUAUCUAGGUGACAUUAGGGUUUUGGUUGAUUUGUGUCUUAAGGUGUUAUUCUAGUACGAACUCUUGAGUAGAUCGAUCCGAAAGAAUAACUUUGAGGUGGUUUCGUACCCUACCAUAAUCUCUUCGUUUGUUCUCCGCUAUUAGUGACUUUGGAGUGACUCUUUGUUGCAUGUUGAGGGAUAGUUAUAUGAUCCAAUUAUGUUAUUAUUGUUGAGAGAACUUGCACUAGUGAAAGUAUGAACCCUAGGACUUGUUUCCUAGCAUUGCAAUACCGUUUGUGCUCACUUUUAUUAUUAGUUACCUUGCUGUUUUUAUAUUUUCAGAUUACAAAAACCUAUAUCUACCAUCCAUAUUGCACUUGUAUCACCAUCUCUUCGCCGAACUAGUGCACCUAUACAAUUUACCAUUGUAUUGGGUGUGUUGGGGACACAAGAGACUCUUUGUUAUUUGGUUGUAGGGUUGUUUGAGAGAGACCAUCUUCAUCCUAUGCCUCCCAUGGAUUGAUAAACCUUAGGUCAUCCACUUGAGGGAAAUUUGCUACUGUCCUACAAACCUCUGCACUUGGAGGCCCAACAACGUCUACAAGAAGAAGGUUAUCUAGUAGACAUCAAGCUCUUUUCUGGCACCGUUGCCGGGGAGGCUAGGUAAGCGGCACUCACACCCCGUCAACUAAGCUCUUUUCUGGCGCCGUUGCCGGGGAGGUGAGUGCUUGAAGGUAUAUCUUUAGAUCUUGCAAUCGAAUCUUUUAGUUUCUUGUUUUAUCACUAGUUAGUUUAUAAAAUGAAACUACAAAAAAUGGAAUUGAGGGUGCCUCAUAUGCUUCAUCUUUUUAAUGUCUUCCGUGAAAAUAAGGAUUCCGAUAAUUGUGCUCAAUUGCUAAAGGAAGAAUGCAUUAAAAUGUUUGGCACUAAAUUUUUGAAUGAUGAGCAUGAUUUCAAUGUUGUUAGUAUGAAUUCCUUGAAUACCCAUGAUGCUAAUGAUAUGCAAAGCCACAAGCUUGGGGAAGCUAUGUUUCAUGAAGAUGAUAUUUUUUGUCCCGCAAGUUUUGAUGAGCAAAUUUAUUAUGAUGAAAGCAUGCCUCCUAUUUAUGAUGAUUAUUGUGAUGACACGUAUUCUUUAAAGAAUAAUGAUAACCAUGAAACUUGUCAUCUUGAUCUUAAUUUUCAAUCACAUGAUAGUUAUUUUGUUGAGUUUGCUCCCACUACUAUUGAUGAGAAUAAAUUUGCUUACGUGGAGAGUAGGGAAAUUUCUUUGCUUGUAGAUCAUGAAAAGGAUGUUUUAGGUGCUGGUUAUAUUGUUGAAUUCAUUCAUGAUGCUACUGAAAAUUAUUAUGAGGGAGGAAUAUAUGCUUGUAAGAAUUGCAAUAAUAUCACGUUUCCUCUCUAUCUGCUUAAAGUUUUGAAGUUAUGCUUGUUUUGCCUUCCUAUGCUAGUUGAUUAUUGCUCCAAUAAGUUGUUUGCUCAUAAAAUCCCUAUGCAUAGGAAUUGGGUUAGACUUAAAUGUGCUAGUCAUAUUCUUCAUGAUGCUCUCUUUAUGUUUCAAUUCUUAUCUUUUAUGCGAGCAUCAUUGAAAUCAUCAUGCCUAGCUAGGGGCGUUAAACGUUAGCGCUUGUUGGGAGGCGACCCAAUUUUAUUUUAGUUUCUUGCUUUUUGGUUCUGUUUAGGAAUAAAUAAUCCAUCUAGCUUCUAUUUAGAUGUGGUUUUGUGUUUUUUAAUUAGUGUUUGUGCCAAUUAAGACCUAUAGGAUCUUCUUGGAUGAUAGUUAUUUGAUCUUGCUGAAAAUUCCAGAAACUUUCUGUUCACGAAAAUAAUUGUUUAAAAUCACCAGAACGUGAUAAAAUACUGAUUCCAAUUGCAGCAGAUCAAUAAACAAAUUAUCUAGGUCUUCCUAUUUUGGUAGAUUUUUCUGAGUUCCAGAAGUUUGCGUUAGUUACAGAUUACUACAGACUGUUCUGUUUUUGACAGAUUCUGUUUUUCGUGUGUUGUUUGCUUAUUUUGAUGAAUAUAUGGCUAGUAAAAUAAUUUAUAAACCAUAGAGAAGUUGGAAUACAGUAGGUUUAACACCAAUAUAAAUAAAGAAUGAGUUCAUUAUAGUACCUUGAAGUGGUGUUUUGUUUUCUUUCGCUAACGGAGCUUACGAGUUUUCUGUUAAGUUUUGUGUUGUGAAGUUUUCAAGUUUUGGGUAAAGAUUCGAUGGACUAUGGAAUAAGGAGUGGCAAGAGCCUAAGCUUGGGGAUGCCCAAGGCACCCCAAGGUAAUAUUCAAGGAUAACCAAGAGCCUAAGCUUGGGGAUGCCCCGGAAGGCAUCCCCUCUUUCGUCUUCAUUCAUCGGUAACUUUACUUGGAGCUAUAUUUUUAUUCACCACAUGAUAUGUGUUUUGCUUGGAGCGUCAUUUUAUUUUCUUUAGCUUUGCUUGUUGUUUGAAUAAAGUACCAAGAUCUGAAAUCCUUAAAUGUUAGAGAUUCUUCACAUAAUUGCAUAAUUAUUCAACUACUCAUUGAUCUUCAAUUAUAUCUUUCGGGGUAGUCUGUCUUUUGCUCUAGUGCUUCACUUAUAUCUUUUAGAGCACAAUGGUGGUUUUAUUUUGAAGAAACAGAUGAACUCUCAUGCUUCACUUAUAUUAUUUUGAGAGUCUUAAAUAGCAUGGUAAUUUUCUUAAUCCUAAUAUGCUAGGUAUUCAAGACUAGUAAAAACUUCUUAUGAGUGUGUUGAAUACUAAGAGAAGUUUGAUGCUUGAUGAUUGUUUUGAGACAUGGAGGUAGUGAUAUUAAAGUUGUGCUAGUUGAGUAGUUGUGAAUUUGAGAAAUACUUGUGUUGAAGUUUGCAAGUCCCGUAGCAUGCACGUAUGGUAAAUGUUAUGUAACAAAUUUGAAACAUGAGGUGUUUUUUGAUUGUCCUCUUUAUGAGUGGCGGUCGGGGACGAGCGAUGGUAUUUUCCUACCAAUCUAUCCCCCUAGGAGCAUGCGCGUAGUGCUUGGUUUUUGAUGACUUGUAGAUUUUUGCAAUAAGUAUGUGAGUUCUUUAUGAUUAAUGUUGAGUCCAUGGAUUAUACGCACUCUCACCUUCCCAUCAUUGCUAGCCUCUUCGGUACCGUGCAUUGCCCUUUCUCACAUUGAGAGUUGGUGCAAACUUCGCCGGUGCAUCCAAACCCCGUGAUAUGAUACUCUCUUUCACACAUAAACCUCCUUAUAUCUUCCUCAAAACAGCCACCAUACCUACCUAUUAUGGCAUUUCCAUAGCCAUUCCGAGAUAUAUUGCCAUGCAACUUUCCACCAUUCCGUUUAUCAUGACACGUUCAUCAUUGUCAUAUUGCUUUGCAUGAUCAUGUAGUUGACAUAGUAUUUGUGGCAAAGCCACCGUUCAUAAUUCUUUCAUACAUGUCACUCUUGGUUCAUUGCCUAUCCCGGUACACCGCCGGAGGCAUUCAUAUAGAGUCAUACUCUUUUCUAGUAUCGAGUUGUAAUCAUUGAGUUGUAAAUAAAUAGAAGUGUGAUGAUCAUCAUUUUCUAGAGCAUUGUCCCAAGUGAGGAAUAAAAAAAGAGAAAGGCCAUAAAAAGGAGAAGGCCCAAAAAAGAGAGAGAGAGAGAGAGAAAAAGAGAGAAGGGACAAUGUUACUAUCCUUUUACCACACUUGUGCUUCAAAGUAGCACCAUAAUCUUCAUGAUAGAGAGUCUCUUGUUUUGUCACUUUUAUAUACUAGUGGGAAUUUUUCAUUAUAGAACUUGGCUUGUAUAUUCCAACAAUGGGCCUCCUCAAGUGCCCUAGGUCUUCGUGAGCAAGCAAGUUGGAUGCACACCCACUUAGUUUCUUUUGUUGAGCUUUCAUAUAUUUAUAGCUCUAGUGCAUCCGUUGCAUGGCAAUCCCUACUCCUUGCAUUAACAUCAAUCGAUGGGCAUCUCCAUAGCUCAUUGAUUAGCCUCGUUGAUGUGAGACUUUCUCCUUUUUUGUCUUCUCCACAUAACCCCCAUCAUUAUAUUCUAUUCCACCCAUAGUGCUAUAGCCAUGGCUCACGCUCAUGUAUUGCGUGAAGGUUGAAAAAGUUUGAGAUUACUAAAGUAUGAAACAAUUGCUUGGCUUGUCAUCGGGGUUGUGCAUGAUGAGAGCAUUCUUGUGUGACGAAAAUGGAGCAUGACUAAACUAUAUGAUUUUGUAGGGAUGAACUUUCUUUGGCCAUGUUAUUUUGAGAGGACAUACUUGCUUAGUUAGUAUGCUUGAAGUAUUAUUACUUUUUUGUCAAUAUGAACUUUUAUCUUGAAUCUUUCGGAUCUGAAUAUUCAUACGACAAUUAAGAAGAAUUACAUUGAAAUUAUGCCAAGUAGCAUUCACACUUCAUAAAUUCUUUCUUUUAUCAUUUACCUACUCGAGGACGAGCAGGAAUUAAGCUUGGGGAUGCUGAUACGUCUCCAACGUAUCUAUAAUUUAUGAAGUAUUCAUGCUAUUAUAUUAUCCAUCUUGGAUGUUUUAUGGGCUUUACUAUGCACUUUUAUAUUACUUUUGGGACUAACCUAUUGACCCAGAGCCCAGUGCCAGUUUCUGUUUUUUCCCUUGUUUCAGUGUUUUGCGGAGAAGGAAUAUCAAACGGAGUCCAAACGGAAUGAAACCUUCGGAAAAGUUAUUUUUGGAAAGAAAGCAAUACAGGAGACUUGGAGUGCACGUCGGGAGAUCAACGAGGAAGGCACGAGGCAGGGGGGCGCGCCCACCCCCCUGGGCGCGCCCUCCACCCGCGUGGGCCCCUCGUGGCUCCCCUUACCGACUUCUUUCGCCUAUAUAUUCCCAUAUACCCUAAAACCUUCGGGGAACAUGAUAGAUCGGGAGUUCCGCCACCGCAAGCCUCUGUAGCCACCAAAAACCAAUCGGGACCCUGUUCCGGCACCCUGUCGGAGGGGGGAACCCUCACCGGUGGCCAUCUUCAUCAUCCCGGCGCUCUCCAUGACGAGGAGGGAGUAGUUCACCCUCGGGGCUGAGGGUAUGUACCAGUAGCUAUGUGUUUCAUCUCUCUCUCUCUCUCUCUCUUGUGUUCUUGAGAUGAUACGAUCUUGAUGUAUCGCGAGCUUUGCUAUUAUAGUUGGAUCUUAUGAUGUUUCUCCCCCUCUACUCUCUUGUAAUGGAUUGAGUUUUCCCUUUGAAGUUAUCUUAUCGGAUUGAGUCUUUAAUGAUUUGAGAACACUUGAUGUAUGUCUUGCGUGGGAUACUCGUGGUGACAAUGGGGUAUUCUAUUGAUCCACUUGAUGUAUGUUUUGGUGAUCAACUUGCGGGUUCCGUCCAUGAACCUAUGCAUAGGGGUUGGCACACGUUUUCGUCUUGACUCUCCGGUAGAAACUUUGGGGCACUUUUUGAAGUACUUUGUGUUGGUUGAAUAGAUGAAUCUGAGAUUGUGUGAUGCAUAUCGUAUAAUCAUGCCCACGGAUACUUGAGGUGACAUUGGAGUAUCUAGGUGACAUUAGGGUUUUGGUUGAUUUGUGUCUUAAGGUGUUAUUCUAGUACGAACUCUUGAAUAGAUCGAUCUGAAAGAAUAACUUUGAGGUGGUUUCGUACCCUACCAUAAUCUCUUCGUUUGUUCUCCGCUAUUAGUGACUUUGGAGUGACUCUUUGUUGCAUGUUGAGGGAUAGUUAUAUGAUCCAAUUAUGUUAUUAUUGUUGAGAGAACUUGCACUAGUGAAAGUAUGAACCCUAGGACUUGUUUCCUAGCAUUGCAAUACCGUUUGUGCUCAUUUUAUUAUUAGUUACCUUGCUGUUUUUAUAUUUUCAGAUUACAAAAACCUAUAUCUACCAUCCAUAUUGCACUUGUAUCACCAUCUCUUCGCCGAACUAGUGCACCUAUACAAUUUACCAUUGUAUUGGGUGUGUUGGGGACACAAGAGACUCUUUGUUAUUUGGUUGUAGGGUUGUUUGAGAGAGACCAUCUUCAUCCUACGCCUCCCACGGAUUGAUAAACCUUAGGUCAUCCACUUGAGGGAAAUUUGCUACUGUCCUACAAACCUCUGCACUUGGAGGCCCAACAACGUCUACAAGAAGAAGGUUGUGUAGUAGACAUCAACGCGCUCCAGGCGUGGAGCUCCCACGCGCGCUUAUCCGCAGCCUCGCGAAGGCGGUCGGCCUCACGAGCCUCCUCCAAGGCUCGGGAGCAAGCCUCGCGGGAAACCUUGAGGGACGCCUCAGCCUUCGCAUUGUCAAGAUCACGCUGGUAGCGGCCAAGGUUGAUAGCCACCGUCAGCUUGCGCCGUUCCUCCGCCAACCGGAGACCUUCAGCCUCAAGGCGCGAGUCGACACCUGCGAGCCCUUCACCAAGCCGGCUCAUCGCGCCCAUCGCCUCCUGGAAAAGCUCAUGACGAACGACGCUCCACCCGCGCUCGAACUCGAACGUACGGCCCACCUCGUCCAUCGCCUCGGGGGCUGCGGAUGGGGUAUCGAGCGGCGCAUCACCUCUCGGCAGGGGGCUGGGGGCUGGCGCUGCACCUGACGUCAACCAGUCCUCGCGAGGAGCCCAAGCCAAUCGGGGCUCGCUGCUUGAAGAGGAACCGAAUAUCGAAGCCAACCAGCUACCGUCCAUGACCAAAGGAGGGGUCUUGGGCACGCCCGCCAAGCUCCACGCCAGACCGUGGGGGAGGGGCGACAAAGCCGCGGGUUCAGCGUGCCAUGAAGGCAAGAGUGCUCCUUCAACCGACCCUGCUCCAGGGGCAGCAAGCGGACUAGGAGCGCUCAAGGCCGACGGGGGAGUCGAGGAAGGAGGAGGUCGUUUCUCAGAAGGCGCAGCUGCCUCGACGGAAGGAGUCCUGAAGAACUAACGUCAGGAAAUGGAAGCAGCACACAAGGAGUCACAGCGAUACGGUACUUACACGUCGACGGCGAUGUACUUCCUCCGCUUCAGCGGCCCGAAGAUGUUGUUGCCGCUCGAGGAUCCUUUCCUCUUGCGGAGCUCCUCGAAGUCCACGCAGAGCCGACCGAAGCGCUGGACGUGGCGGCCUGCGCAGGGCGAGGCCGAGGAGGAGCUCGGAGGGCCUACUUCAGGGGUGCCCGGCUGCGGCGAACAGUCGGGCGCCGCCUCACCACAACCUCCCGAGGCUUCCGGAGCCUUGGCCUCAGGAACCGCGGGCCGCGCCUCCACAACGUCCAACGUCUCGGGAGAGGGGACGCAAGCUCCCGAGGACGACGCCCCAGGAUCACUACACGACAUGUGCUCCUCAGCACUUGAGCCACCAGCCUCCGCCGGGGCUCGCCCUCCUGCACCCUCACUUGGGGCGAGCUCGGCACCGGCAGCAAGGAAGGAAACCACGCCGACGGGGUUCUCGCGGGGCCCCACCAGGCCGAUCGGCCGCAGCCCCCACUCAUCAAAGGAGGGCAUGCUCUCGGCAAAUUCAUCCUUGUUCUUGCAACGGUACAGCAGGCAGUUCUUCCCAGGCAACUCAUCCGGCAAAGGGACACCCGUCAGGACCUUGAGCACUGUUUGCCGCAUCUCGAGAGGGAGCCCGGACUCCUGAAACCUCAUAUGGUCCUGACUGCUGAGCAAGGUCCACAUCGGGCGAGAAUGGCGCUGAAGCGGGGCUACCCGGCGCUUGAUGAAUUCCUUCACCACCAUGGGCGCGGUCAUGCCGCGGUCCUUCAGCCUCCUCAACCUGAACCAUACGGGAGCAAGACGGGGGCUCGCGAGCUUCUCGUGGCCCCAACUAGAGUUGGGAACAGCGGGCCCUGGCGGAGCAUGGAGCAGAGGGCUGAGCACGCCGGCAUCGACGAACACCCACCGUGUCCGAAACUCGCUCGCGGACGGAGGAAGCUCGAAGUCGAUCCCCGCGCCCGCCGUCGCGGCCACGGCCUGGAAGCUCACGCACCCCGAGCAUUGCUGGGGGCCGAUCAGAUGUAGUGAGAAGAAAUGACGAAGGAGGACCACCGAAGGAGCGAUACCCACCAUGGCUUCGCACACGAAGGCGGAGACAGCAAGAAGAGUCACCGAUUGAGGGUCAAGAUGCAGCAUGUGGAUCUGAUAAUGCUCGAGCACCGCGUUGAAGAAGGCGGAGAAGGGAGGAAUCAGGCCAGCCCAGAGGGCAUCUAUGAAGAUUGGGACUUCAGUGGCUGUCCGAGCCAUGCGAGUGCGAGACGCAAGCCAAGCCACCGUCUCUCCCCACUCGUUGAAGCUAGAAGCAAGCAUCGGACGCACCUUGUCCAUGGCCUCGUUGUUGAGCACUCGGGAUCGACCUAGCGCCGGCUCGAUGGCCGGAGGAGCACUUAGCGGAGACAAGGGCUUCUUUCCCUUAUCUGCUUGUUUCGGCGCCAUGGCAGCGAAGCGGGCAGAGGGCAGGUCAGAUUGGAGAAGAGAAACAGAGUCUCGAGGAAGCAGGGAGAUUGGGGAAGCGAGGCGCAGACGACGGAGGAAUAACUAUGUGAGCUGUGGGGGCCACAUAGCCAGGCGGAUUCAAAGGCUGGGAAGCGGAGACGCCCACGUCCAAUCAACCGCCACGCGUCAACCGAGGCCGCAGGCUUUUGGGGCCCGCGGCGCUCCGUACUUGACCCUUGGCUUCGCCACAAAGCCAAGCCCGAGCGCACCUUGGGCCCGGGGGCUACUGUCGGCGUUCUGGGAACGGGGGUCCUCAGACUUGCCUGCCUGCGGCCCACGGCGUGGCUAAGUCAGCGGGUCGUACGGCCCAUCUUCGUCAACAAGGCAUCCAAGACCCUCGCGAGGGGCCAAGCCUCGCGAGGCGGACGACGCAAGACCUCCUCAGGAGUGGCCUAGCCAGGCAGGCUCACGAGGAGCGGAGAUAUCAAGGCGGGGCAAACCUCACGAGGCUCUCGUGACGUGAGCCAUGACGAUCGGCACCAGGCGGGCGCCAGCGCGCGCAACGUCCGUGUUUCCUCUUUGGUGCUAAGGAGGCAAGCGCAUGCGAGGAGUACCGAGGCAUCGGGCAAAGGUUGCCAUAUCGGUGCAACGAGACCAAGACCAGAAGGACGGCAGGACGGAGGUCAUCGUGGAGCCCAAGACGGCGUCACCACUAGAGCCUUUCGCAGGCGAAGACCACUUUUGUCAGGAUAGCUUGUACUAGCUGUCCCCCUUUAAAUUUGCCCGCCGUUGUUGGCUCCCUUCCCGCUCAAUAUUCGGGGAGAAGACCAGGGCCUAUAUAAGUAGAACUAGCCACCACAAUAGUGGCAUCUCAGCUUGAUCUGAUCUGAUCGAGAGCCUACCCUAGCCACAAGAACACCUCAACCUCAGGAGGCUGUUCUUCCCCUUGUACUGUUCAUCAUCAGCCCAAGAGGCAAUCCACCACCACCACACUGGAGUAGGGUAUUACACCACAACGGUGGCCCGAACCAGUAUAAAUCUCGUGUCUUUUUGUGUUGCGAGUUCGUCGAGUUCGUCCGCGAGAUCUUAGUGAGCUAGGGCGUGGAUCGGUAGGAGGAAAAGACUUCGCGCGCACCCUAGAGUUCGAACCUUAAGGGUUUGCCGGAACCCCAUAUCCGACAGCCACACUUUUUUAGUCACAUACCUCACUUGUCUUUGACUCAAUUGGUAGCCAACUUUUACCACAAGUGUGGCAAUCAAUUUGGCCACCACCAAAAAUGUGGCAUGUCACACUUGUGGCAACAAGUGUGGCAAAAUAUGGAUGGCAACCAAACAUGCCCUUAUUGCUCGAAAUACCCCUUGUGAACAUCAUGGCAUUUGCAUCUUGCAAGUCUUUUUAUGCACAAUAUUGUUGACAAAAAUCUUUUUUUUUGUUCUUGUGAGUGAAGGAAAUAAUCUUACUUCCACAUUAAAUGAAAAGGAAUUUUGCUGUACUUCGUUUCACAUGGUCUUUAGCAAUGUGUAUGUAUUUUCUUAGGGGAGCGAGCGUUAGAAGGAUGAGAAAGUAUCCAUAGACAUAUAGCCGAAAGCAUUAUUAUAUACUACCUCUGUUCGUAAAUAAUGGAACAGAGGGUGUGUAGAAUAUUGCCUGAUAGGGAGGGACAUUUUAGCUUCAUCUUGAGUUGUGAGAAAAUGUAUGUCGCACUGGAAUCACUCUUAUAGAAAAUAUGAGCUGAAACGUCACGAAACUCAUGGAUUUUUGUUUGUUUAUUACAUGAUGAGCUGAGAGAUCACACGUGUUGCGUUUAUCAUUUGGGUAUAUUGAUAGGUUGAGUUGUUUAUACUCAGUCCAUUAUUGUGGUAUAUUAUGCGUUUAGAGAGAUAGCUAGCCGUGCAAGUGCACGGGUUAAAAGUCAUUUUCUCAUUACUUUUGGCUCUUUCGUUUUCCAUUUUUUAUAGGUAUUACAAUUGUUGGAUUUGAAAGACAUGGACUUCAUUUUAUAUAGGUAUUACAAUUGUUGGAUUUGAAAGACAUGGGCUUCAUUUUCCUGUAGGAGUCCCACUAGUAGCACCUUUCUUGAUUUCAAAGAAACGGGCUUCAUCUUUUUAGCUUCUUAGGGCCUGUUCGACACUCAUCUAGCUCCGCAAAAUACAGGAGUAUACGGAGCGCCACUUUGGCCACUCCGUGAAAAUAGGCUGCGGGCCGCUCCCGCUCCGGCUGCUCCAGGAGCGGAGAGCUGCCGAACAGGCCCUUAUUACCUGCAGGAGUCCCACUGUCUUUAGAACCUUUCUUAGUACUCCCUCCGUCCGGAAAUACUCGUCGAAGGAAUGGAUGUAUCUAGAUAUGUUUUAGUUCUAGAUACAUCCAUUUUUAGACAUUUCUCCGACAAGUAUUUCCGGACGGAGGGAGUACUACUUAAGCUAAUCUCUUACUCCCUCCGUCCGGGAAAAGUUGUCCCCAUGGCGUUUUUGCACAAAACCCCUCCCAAAACUCCCGACACAACCCGCACUCCUCGUCCUCUCCAAACUUGUCUCCUCGUCGUAUCCUUGCUCUGGCACAGGCGCAUGGACGCCGGAGCUCCUCUGCGCCGCGCUGCUCCCCUGCUCUCCCGCCCGUCCUCCUCCGCCGCCGCAGCUGCCUCCUCCGCCGCUCCCUUCUGCCUCGCGCAGCUCCCCUGCCUCCCUUGCCUGCCUCCCGAAUCUCCCCUCUUUCACCCCAAAAAUCAAUUCUUCUUCCUCCCGCCGCGUCUCCUACUCGCGCGCGGCGUCGACACGUCCUCCUCCUCGCCCCCGCCGCCGGAGGAGGCGCAAGGCAGGCAUCAGUGGCUCGCGUUGUGCCUACGCGACAUCGGGUGAGGCUGCUGGGCAGGCAGCAGUGCCUCGCCCCCGCCGCCGGAGGAGGCAGCGGCAGUGGCGGGCCGACGGGCCGGUCGCCGCCUCGGUCGUGCCCCCGUCCGUAGAGGAUGAGGAGGGGAAUCCCGUUCGUCGGCAAGGCUUCCCUCUGUUGCAUUUGCUCCUUCAGCCGUGCGGGGCCGUCGAGGUAUAGACUUUCCUUCUCCUUCCGCUGGGUUUCAGUCAGAGAAUUCAAUUGAAGCAAAUGUCAGUUAACAAAUGUUGAGAACAAGUGUUCAGUUUUUUGCUCUCUCUAAAUUUUCAAAAUUAACAAAUGUUCACAAAUCUUCAGAUUUUGCUCUCUAAAUGUCAGUUAACAAAUUCUUAUUCUUACUAUCAAAUGUUUUUUUUUUGGAACCAUGCAUACUCUGUUCUGUUAGUAUGUUCAGUGGUUACUUUUUGCCACACCCACAUUCCAGAUAUGUCCAGCAGCGCUUGCUCGUCUCCAUCUGACAGAAAGCAAAAAACUGCCUUCAGUUUGGUAGCAUGAUUUCCCUUCAAUUUGGUAGUUUCAGUGUCUAGCUACCUUAGUGCAUUUUGAUCUUGGAGGUUUCUUUCAGUGUGUAGCUACUGCUGAUGCUGAGGCUAGAAAAUGUGUUCUGUGUUUUCUGUUUUUGUUGAAGGAAGGCUAAAUUCUCCUUGUUCCCAAACUGUCAAGCCUGAAUUUUACUCCAUCUCUCUCCAAAUUGUCAACUGAAUUUCGCUCACUGAAAAUUCGACAGUGGAGUACUGUCCAAACUGUAUUCACUGUCUAAAUUUCACUGAUGUCAAAUUUUAUUUAUGUGUCAAGUCUGACAUCAACUUGUAAGAAGAAUAAGGGUGAGUUCAAGAUCAGGUGAUUGAGUGAGUGAUGUGGUUGCUGAAGUUCAGACAUGUUCAAUGAGAACAACUACUGUGGAGAUUAAAUUCAAUGAGAAUAAAUUCAAAUAAAUCCAAAUAAACCCAUCAUGUCAGGAUUCUUGAUCAAAGACCCACUUAGGAUUAGUUUCUCAUUGUUAAACACAAGUUUAAAAUGAAUAUGCUUCUUUUGUUGUGAUAAUCCAAAAUGCUUCUUUUGAGUACAAUAGUUGUAAAAUUUAGUCUAUCUUGAGCUUGAGCUUGGGAGCUUCUUUAGCAAGAUCACUGAAUACAGUGAUUUGUCGCAUAGGAGUAGCUGUAAAUGCUUAAGUGGAGUACUCAAAUUUUGAAAAAUGAGUUGCUUACAGAUUGUUUGCUAUAGUUGCUUAACUCAAAUAAAUUAAGUGCUUCUAGUUUACUAUAGAUUGAUGAGGACCUUUAGAUUCAACCCAAGAAUUCAGCUACAAGAUCAUUUGGGACUACUGAAAAUCCAGUUGCUGUCAACUGAAUUUGACAAGUUAACUUAACAAUUAACUUUAUAGUAUCUCUCACAAGUUAACUUAACAAUUUGAUCUACUGCAAAUAAUCUACUGCAAAUAGUACUCCUAUUCAGAAAUGUUCAGAGGAGGAUGAUAAGAGCUGCUUCAUUUUGUGAUGUACAGUAGGUGUCAAGUUCUAUUUCAGCUCAAGUUCCAUUGCUUUGUUUGGAAACUGCUUGGUAAAUUAACUAGGAAUACAUGAACAUGUCACUUCCAUCUAUCCCCAAACUGUCAAGACUGAAAAUAAACCAUUAUUUCCUCAUGCAUAUAAUUUGAAAAUAAACCAUUGUUUACUGAAUCAUUUAAAGGACUAUCUUGGAUAUGCACAACAGUACAUACUCCAAGAUUCUUUUGUUGUGCACUUACUGAAAAUUCAGUUAGUGCAGUUAUGACAUAAUUGAUCUUGACAAUCCUAGUUGAUCUAGUUAUGCAAAUGUUCAGAAAUGUCCAGUUUGUACAUUUUGAAAAAAGGCUGCCAUGGCCACAAAGGAUGCCAUGCAAGAUUGUUCACUUAAACUUCACUGUACAGCAACUUAAAUUUUGUGCAUCUACUGUUUACUCCACUGUACAAACUUGAAUUUGUGUGACAUGAUCUUCUGUUGGUUGCUACUCCACUGGAUAUUGACUGAAUAGACUAAGCUGUAGGAUAGUGGUGCUGGUCCAUCUAGAGCACUACUCCCAUUUUUGCUCUGCUCCCAUUUUUGCUCACAAUUAUUCAGGUAAGGACUACUCCUAGUAACAAAACAGAUCAUUUACUGAAAAUAGCUCUACAUUUCUUCUUUCUAAUGGUUGUUCCUUUAGCAAUAGCUCUACAUUUACUGAAAAUAAACUUGAUGUACUGAGAAGAAACUUUGCCAUUGUUUACUGAAAAUAAACUUUAUCUAUUGAAAAUAAACAAUCACUGAUCUGCAGCAGUUCUCAUCACCAUGAUAAGACAAGCCAGAUGCUCUAUUUUUAAUUAACAGUAAUCCAUGAUCAGCAGCAGUUUCUUUCACUAAUUUUCAGUUAACAGCAAUCCAUGUUUAUUUUCACAAUGAUCAGCAGCAGUUUUUGUAUUAAAAUGAAUGUACUCCAUGAAUUUUAAGUUAACAACUGAAUUUACUCCAUGAUUGGCAUUGUCAUGAUUCAGUUAACACUAAAUCAACUUCACUAAUUUUCAGGUACAGUACUCUGACGGAGUACCUUCUUCAGAGUGCAGAGGAGCAAAAUUGUUCUGAUCAGCAGCAGCACAGCACAGUCACUUGGAUCAGCGGAAGAGGAGCAUCAGCAGCACGGGCAGAGGAGCAGCAGCAGCACGGGCAGAGCUCCACCAGCGGCAGGGGAGAAGCAGCCGCACGAGCGCACGAGCAGAGGAGAAGGAGCAGCACGGCCGGGGUUGGCAGCGGCGGCUGGGGUUGCCGCGAGUGCGAGGAACUAGUCAGGGAUGCGAGCAGGGAGACGAGAGGAGGCGCCCGUCGAAGUGGUCGCCUUGGAGGAGCAGCCGCAGGUGGGCAGCGGGGCAGCGACGCUGGUGGGCGGCGGCGCAGGGGCGCAGGUGGGUGGCGGCACAGGUGGGCGCCCGCUGUUUGUACGGCGGCUGCCGACGGCCGCUUGGUCCAGCCGUGGUCGAAGGAGGAAGAAGCAGAGGUGAGGGGGGAUUAGCACGAGAUUUAAAACCAGAAGGUUUUUUUUUUGCAAAAUUAGAAAUGAACUGAGCUGGGGACAACUUUUCCCGGACGGAGGGAGUACUAUUUUUAGUGCAUCAAGCUUAGGAGUAGAUUUAUUUGCUAAUAUGAUGGCACAUUUCAGCACCAGCCACAGCUACUACAACAAAACUACCAAACAGCUGCACCUCAGCUCCAGCCUUCCAGCCACAGCUAACAACUACAGCUGCUCCUUUCAGCCGGAGCCGUUGCAACUUAGAAGUUGCAGCCCAAAUAAACACACCCUAAAUUGGCCAAUGUGUUACCUUGGCUUCCACAUAGUAUAGUAUUAUGAUUACUAUCCAAGAAAGGGGUGAAUAACAAAAUGAAAGAAACAAAAAAUGCCCACAAUCUUGGCUUGAACUUGCAAACGACGAAAUGAUAAAAGAUAACAGGAGCAAACUUGACAGAGACGUCAUGGUGUCACGAAUCCAGACGGUCUCAUUCACAAGCAGCCUUGCAAACCUAUCAUCCUUCAAGGUUCUUGACACAAACAAGCUUGACGCUGCCAACCUAACAAACC